rnacentral:rRNA from 1 species
UACGAAGGGGGGCUAGCGUUGCUCGGAAUUACUGGGCGUAAAGCGCACGUAGGCGGCUUUCUAAGUCGGAGGUGAAAUCCUGGAGCUCAACUCCAGAACUGCCUUCGAUACUGGAGAGCUUGAGUCCGGGAGAGGUGAGUGGAACUGCGAAGUGUAGAGGUGAAAUUCGUAGAUAUUCGCAAGAACACCAGUGGCGAAGGCGGCUCACUGGCCCGAUACUGACGCUGAGGCACGAAAGCGUGGGGAGCAAACAGG